ACCCUCUCAGAGUCUCACCUGGAGAGUUUCCAGUACUCUACCAGUCUCGGCUAUGGGCGGGAGAGUGAAGUAGAGGCAUACUCAUUCCAUUCCUAGUUUGGCCAGUGGCUAGCAACUGGAGGGCAAUCUGCUACAAGU